rnacentral:rRNA from 1 species
GACGAACGCUGGCGGUGUGCUUCACACAUGCAAGUCGAACGAGGUAGCAAUACCUAGUGGCGGACGGGUGAGUAACGCGUGGGAAUCUGCCCAUAGGUGGGGGAUAACUAGCCGAAAGGUUAGCUAAUACCGCAUAUGCCGAGAGGUAAAAGGAGUAAUCCGCCUUUGGAUGAGCCCGCGUCCGAUUAGCUAGUUGGUAGGGUAAAAGCCUACCAAGGCUACGAUCGGUAGCUGGUCUGAGAGGAUGAUCAGCCACAAUGGGUACUGAGACACGGCCCAUACUCCUACGGGAGGCAGCAGUGGGGAAUUUUACGCAAUGGGGGGAAACCCUGACGUAGCGACACCGCGUGAACGAAGAAGCCCUUUGGGGUGUAAAGUUCUGUCGGCUGGAACGAAAAAAUGACGGUACCAGCAAAGGAAGCAUCGGCUAACUACGUGCCAGCAGCCGCGGUAAU